rnacentral:misc_RNA from 1 species
GGAUGUUGCCGUGUAACAAACGGCUCGUCUGAAAUGCCUGAGUGUACCCUGCUUUGCGGCGUAUUUGGUGUGAUAAAUCUUCACCGGAGUCUGACUUUUGGGUCGCGCUUGUAUUGUUGGCUCUAUGCUUCCAACCGUCCUAACAAGACAAUCUUUGACAAUUUGACCUCAAAUCGGGUGGGACUACCCGCUGAGCUUAA